UUAAAUUGAAGAGUUUGAUCAUGGCUCAGAUUGAACGCUGGCGGCAGGCCUAACACAUGCAAGUCGAACGGUAACAGAGAUCAGCUUGCUGAUU
rnacentral:rRNA from 1 species